AUUGAACGCUGGCGGCAUGCCUUACACAUGCAAGUCGAACGGUAACAGGUCUUCGGAUGCUGACGAGUGGCGAACGGGUGAGUAAUACAUCGGAACGUGCCCGAUCGUGGGGGAUAACGAGGCGAAAGCUUUGCUAAUACCGCAUACGAUCUACGGAUGAAAGCGGGGGAUCUUCGGACCUCGCGCGGACGGAGCGGCCGAUGGCAGAUUAGGUAGUUGGUGGGAUAAAAGCUUACCAAGCCGACGAUCUGUAGCUGGUCUGAGAGGAUGAUCAGCCACACUGGGACUGAGACACGGCCCAGACUCCUACGGGAGGCAGCAGUGGGGAAUUUUGGACAAUGGGCGAAAGCCUGAUCCAGCCAUGCCGCGUGCAGGAUGAAGGCCUUUGGGUUGAAAACUGCUUUUGUACGGAACGAAAAGCCUCUUUCUAAUAAAGAGGGGUCAUGACGGUACCGUAAGAAUAAGCACCGGCUAACUACGUG
rnacentral:rRNA from 1 species